rnacentral:lncRNA from 1 species
AUUCAAAUGGUCACAUGCCAUAGAGAUACCAUUAUAAAAAAAAAAAAUUCUUGUACCUUUGGAAGUAUCCCACUUCUGUUACUGCUAGUACAUGUUUAGUGUGCGUAUUCCUGAAAUAUUUGGUUAUGAGCUUUGGACUCUUUUCACUUGUAACCUUUUCUCUCCUACACUAGGGAUCCUCAACCAAGGUCCUCCACACUUGUCAACGUUCUAUACAAUCUGGCCACUAUCUCCUUUCAAAUGUUACCCUUCCUGUGUUACCUCCAGAAACCUCUGCACAGCCAUGCUGCUCCAUCCUCUGAACACUUGUAAUGCCUACCUGCACUUGUUCAGAGCAUAGCUCAAUCUCUGCUUGAUCCUCCUCUUACCCAUUUCCAUAUUCUACCCAGCCUUCGACACUCACCCGUUGCUUCUGCUCUCCUUUCUCAGGUUAGGGCUGGGCAGGAGCCCAAUGUGAUAUUCUCCUACAUCACUGAGCUAUUGGAAAUGCAGCAUGCAUCAAGAGGCAGCUAAGUGGUUAAUUGCAAUUCAUGGACUCAGCCAAACUAAAAGGCAGCUUGUUCACCAAGCCACCCUCCUUUUUCCUCUUUUCUCUGGAGCAAUCCCAGCUCUAAUUAAAAUGUAAUAUUCUCCUUAUGUGAUUCCUUGGAAAAGUUUGUGGAAUGACCACAUAAUACAGAGCAGAUUUUCCAGAUGUUCCCUGUCUUGGCUGGUAUUCUCAUGCACAGAAUCUCCACCUCCAAAUUUCUCUUCUAUAUACUUACCAGAUGACCUCCUCUCUCCUCCCACUUCUCCCCUGCUGUCCCUGAUACAUUGUACAUAACUUCCUGAGUCUUAUUGUUGUGCCUUCAGUGUGUAAGAACCAUUACUGAAGUGCAGUGGGCCAAGAAAAAAGUAAUACUUGCCUCCAAAGAGCACUUUAAUGCUAUUUACAAUGGAAAAAACAACUUUGAACUGCUUCCAAAAUAACAGGCAUUAAAAUCACUUCUGUUUGCAGUUGAGAUGGAUUUUGCAGUAACCUUUCCAAACCUGCUUCCUCUGAAUGUUUUUCAGUCCAGAGAGUGGCUUUCUCAAUGAAAAUUUAAAAUGGUGCCCACAUAAACACUUGACAUACACCGCAAAAGGCAAUUUUCCAACACUUACUCAAACAGUUGCUCGUGAAACCAGGGUCUGCAGUCACACGAUCCCAGUGAAGAUUGUACAAGCCUAGAGAUAUUAUGAAACACUGUUGCAAGCCAUGAAUCAAUAAAAGUGGCCACGAUGGCAUAGCCAUCAGGUUUAGGCACAUGUUUGAUAAAGUGAUCAUUUAACAUAGUUCCAUGAAUUCAAUUUCCCACGUCUUUCCCCCACGUAUUUUCCAUCAACCUUAUAUCCCUUCAGUCUUUUAAUCUGGGUUCAUAAAAUGUUACGAGGAUU